rnacentral:tRNA from 1 species
GACCCGGUAGCUCAGCCGGUAGAGCACAUGACUUUUAAUCAUGGUGUCCGGAGUUCGAUUCUCCGUCGGGUCACCA